GUUAUCCCAAGCCUUUCCAUUUUUGGAGCAAGAAGAAAAUAAGAUCUCAGUUCUUCAUACUCAGGAGCAAUACAGCCUCGUGGAAGAGUGAGGUUUCCUCCUGGAGCUGGGAUGAUUCCUGGACUUGCCCAGCCCUUCACAAGAGCCAGGCUACAUAAGAUGGUACAUGCAGGAGAACGAGCAGCUUUCUAUAAAUGCCAGAAAUGUGCAUCUCAUCUGGUCUUGUUCUGAGAGCAAGCACAACCACCUGCUGAUGGCUGCUAAUGAUGAGAAUGAGGCUGCAUGCAGCCAUGGCUGAGCUAAGCCAGUAUUUGAGAGGGGAAAUUGCUGGCAGAACCAUUUGCGUUCUGGUGGUGAGGACCUCAUGUCCCAAAGUGCCAGUGACUCAUUCUUAGAUCUCAAACAACAAAUGCGUUGCCCGGUGCUAUCAUGACAGAUGCAGCAGAAACCACUGGGGACUCUUUUCUUUGCCUAAUGAAAGUAAAGUAUUUAAUCAAGAGAGACCAAAUGGAUUAUUGGAACUUCACUGUACUGCUUCUGGGACUUGUGCUGAACAACUUUCAUCAGGACUUACACCAGCACUUCAAUGGUUGGGUCUGCUGAGCCCACAAAGUUCCCCAAACUGCAGCGAACACCUCAAAACUGGAGUGCUAUGGGCAGCAAUGCCAUAGGCUGGGCUGGCAGGGCAUUCUUCCUAACUCAACCAUACCAAACACAGAUUGGCCAUACUGGGGGAGUACAUCAUGGGGAACUGGUGUCUCGAUACAGGCAAUGAAGAUAUGAAUUUGCCCCUCCCACACAAAGUGACAACAAAAAGCCAUCAGCCUUGGUUUCCAAGAUGAGUUUUCUCUUUGUGAUUCAGCCUCGAGCAGAUCUGUAGAUAACCCUAUAGCCUGAGGAAGAGGAGCUUCUGCAAACGUGACUGAAGGAAGCCCCCAUACAAGCACUGACCAUGUCUUAACCAAGGUCAGUAACAGUGCCACAGUGAAUUGAGCUUUAAGGAAAAAAAAUGCCUUUUAUUUUUAAUUGUUAUUUAAAGAAAGGUGGAUAGUUCCUAUUGAUUUUCUUUACUCAGGAUUUUUGCAGUGAUUCCAUGAAGCAACUUUCACUGCAGUGUUCCUGAAAAUAAAUGGACCACAUAUUACGCUCAUUCAUUUAAACCCACCAGACCUAUUUAAAAAGAAUAGGAGCUGAUUGUGUUAGCUUUCUGUAAUUGAAAAGGGGCUGGUUGCACCACUCUUCUCAUGGAGUAAUUUGUCUGCUUGGGAGUUGGAUCAUCAGCUGCAGUUAAAAAUCCUGCUGCUUUCAGGAUUUCUGUGUCUUAGUCUGUUGGGUUGGUUUUUUUUUGUGUUUUUUUUUUUCCCCCCAAGCCAUACUGAGCUUGGCUUUGUAACCUACACAAACUGUGGUGAAUGAAACCAAAGCAUGUCUCUUCACUGACCUUUUUUCCCCACUGCCACUUGGAUGCUGGCUCUCCUACUUCCUGACUGCUUCCCUUUGAUGUCCUUCCUCUCAUGUAGAGGCUUACACACACACACACACAAGCCUCUCUCCUUCCCACCCAUAUUAUUAAGGAAGCAGGAAAAACUUGAGCUGUAGGAUCCCACGUUAGGACCUCAGAGAAGAGCUGCUGCCGGGGUCUGCUGCCAGGGCCUGACAGCUUUCCUCCUGAUUUGUGGCCCUGUGGGAGGAAAAAGCAGUCAGAAAUCAAUGUUAGUGGAUUUUAAAUGAAGUCCUAAAUUAUCUCACCUUCGGUCAUAGUGGAUUAACUCUAGAAUGAUUCCUAAAAAUUAUAUUG
rnacentral:lncRNA from 7 species